rnacentral:rRNA from 1 species
GCACAGUUUAUACCGUAGCUUGCUACACCAUAGACUGUGAGUUGCGAACGGGUGAGUAACGCGUAGGUAACCUGCCUAUUAGAGGGGGAUAACUAUUGGAAACGAUAGCUAAUACCGCAUAACAGUAUGUAACACAUGUUAGAUGCUUGAAAGAUGCAAUUGCAUCGCUAGUAGAUGGACCUGCGUUGUAUUAGCUAGUAGGUAGGGUAAUGGCCUACCUAGGCGACGAUACAUAGCCGACCUGAGAGGGUGAUCGGCCACACUGGGACUGAGACACGGCCCAGACUCCUACGGGAGGCAGCAGUAGGGAAUCUUCGGCAAUGGGGGGAACCCUGACCGAGCAACGCCGCGUGAGUGAAGAAGGUUUUCGGAUCGUAAAGCUCUGUUGUUAAGGAAGAACGAGUGUGAGAAUGGAAAGUUCAUACUGUGACGGUACUUAACCAGAAAGGGACGGCUAACUACGUGCCAGCAGCCGCGGUAAUACGUAGGUCCCGAGCGUUGUCCGGAUUUAUUGGGCGUAAAGCGAGCGCAGGCGGUUAGAAAAGUCUGAAGUGAAAGGCAGUGGCUCAACCAUUGUAGGCUUUGGAAACUGUUUAACUUGAGUGCAGAAGGGGAGAGUGGAAUUCCAUGUGUAGCGGUGAAAUGCGUAGAUAUAUGGAGGAACACCGGUGGCGAAAGCGGCUCUCUGGUCUGUAACUGACGCUGAGGCUCGAAAGCGUGGGGAGCGAACAGGAUUAGAUACCCUGGUAGUCCACGCCGUAAACGAUGAGUGCUAGGUGUUGGGUCCUUUCCGGGACUCAGUGCCGCAGCUAACGCAUUAAGCACUC